rnacentral:rRNA from 1 species
GACAGAGGUGCCAAGCGUUAGGCGGAAUCACUGGGCUUAAAGCGUGUGUAGGCGGACUUCUAAGUGCCUUGUGAAAUCCCCCGGCUUAACCGGGGAACCGCUGGGCAGACUGGGAGUCUUGAGCCACCUAGGGGUCGCUGGAACAAACGGUGGAGCGGUGAAAUGCGUAGAUAUCGUUUGGAACGCCAAAGGUGAAAACAGGC